UCUCUCUCCCUGAUCCAUUUCCCUCCCCCUCCAGCGACCGCGCCGCCCCUGCCUCGCCCUCGCCGCCGCUCGCCGACGCAGCCCUCGUCAAACCCCAUCUCUAGAUGAUUCCCUCCCAAACGCAUUUCCCCUUCGCGGAACACUAGCUGCUUGCCUUCAGGCAAUGGCGUCGAGGCUCCGGCGGAACGGCUCCAUUUGGUCCUCGCCGGACGGUCACCGGCCGCGGCCGUAUUAUGCUUUUCCGGGGCAUCAAGCGCAUCCGCGGAAAACGGCACCGUGGUUGCCAUAUAGGGCCUCUAAAAGGUGGUCGAUUCUGAACUAGGGCGUCGCCGCCGCUCCUCCCCUCUCUGGCAACUCCCCUCCUUACCCGCUGCUUAGGGUAAGCAAAGGGAGAGCUUCUCCAAUUAGGCGGCUUUUCCCCGCGGGGACUACUACGGAGUCCUCACCCGCAGCCUAGGGCUGCAGGCAAGGGGAACUCUUACCCAACAAAAGAAUUUGAAGGUCCCCGUCUUGCCCAGGAGCCGAAGGGAGGUCGUCAAGGGCAGCAUCCAUCUCAACGACUCGGCCAAGGUCGCGAUUCUGCAGGAGGCCAUCCAUGCCAAGAGUACGUCACAUCAUCCAUCCCCAGGAUGCGAUAAUGCUAAUCUGUGUUAACAGAUGAAGAAGUAACAGCGUUACUGAACAGAUGCACAAUCUUGCCGAGGAAUUGCUUAAGUAUCACUAGCAAACACUUGGGUAUGUAAUUGGUGGUAAUGGCUGGAGAACUAAAGUUGACCAGCUUUCGAAGGGGGUUAGUUCUCCGGGCAAGCUGUUGGACCAUCUGCAAAACAGUAAGGUUUUCAUAUAUAAGAGGCUAAUGCUAACUAACUAGUAAUCACUGCUUUCUUGCAAAAUUAUGUGGACGACUUGGUUGUGUAAGCAAUGAAAUAUUUAUAUUGUCACUUAGUGAACCUAAGAGAAACUGUUGGAGACAUACCUCAGUAUUAAACUAGAGUUCUUUUUUUUGCGGGUAGUCUUAAACUAGAGUUAGGAUUAACUUGAAUGCUCAUCAGCUCAUGAGCUGUAUAUUGAAAUGUUAAUAGUUUGCAUAUGUUGAAUAAUUUUCAUGUCCGUUGAAUUAUAUUCUUGGACAAUCAACUUGAGUACUUGAUUAUCAAGUGAUUCAAAGCUUGGUUUCUCUAGCAGUUGGGUCUGUAUUGUGGAUGUGCGCUUAGACUGGAUGCGUGCGCGUCUGGGGUCAGGUCCGAUGAAAGACAUCGGCAACGAUACAUCGGUUAGCCCCUUUCUCGUGACAAGGGUGCAUCCACGCACUAAAUUACUAGUUCUUUGUAUUUCUAAUAGAUUACUAGUUCUUUGGGGUUCCUAGUUGUAUCUUCCAUAUAUAUAGGCAGGUCGUAAAUUUCCAUUUAAAUCGUGGUAGUGUUUUGAGUUAUUGUCAUUCGUUUGUCUUGCAUGCUGAAAUGAAUGUGGGUUGGAACCAGACCAUCGUCAUGCCAUAAAAGUGAGUGGUGAUCAUCCCGAUCAAAUGAAUUUAGAUUCUGCGAUACAAAUUGUUAUACUCAUGUGAAGUACUAAAUGCUUAUAUGCCUUGAUCACUGAAGUUGAAAUAAUUCUCUCUUGGCUUGAAAAUCUAUACUUGCUUUGGUUACUCAAGUUGUUGUUGCUUGUAUAAUAGCCAAAAACAGUUAUGUUGUCAUUGAAAGAAGGCUUUGGUAUUGAUAGUGGUGUAUUAUCUUCUCCCUUUCUUGCUCCGAGAGUAGCAUAUGCCAUUUAUUCCAAUUCUUUUUUUGGCAAACAGUGGAUAAGCUGGUAAACUCACAUGCUUGAGGUGUGAAUGAGCCCUUUUCUUGAUUUAGACGGUCAAAUAGUUCAGUGAUCAUUUGGUAGACAAAACACUGUUGUGGGUCACAGAACUUCAGAUUGAUACCUAAUUCCGUUUUAUAGGCAUAUGUUCUCUAUCAUGAAAGUGCUUAAUUUUGGUGAAGAUUUUUAUAGAAUAUGAUCUAUUUGAAAUAGUGUUUUUAUUAAACAUGUUUAGUUAUACAAUCAAGUCUUUGAUAGCUUUUGCCAAUUUCGUUGUUUGAAGAUCACCGUGUAUGUUAUAUCCUUAUGCACAUGGUUGCAUAAUAUGUCCAUUUCUACCAUUCACCCACAUGGGAUUUACAAUGUAAACAUGGUAGUAAGCCAAUGACCUUACUUGAAUUGUGGUGAUGAUGAUCUGGUCACCUAAUUCCUUAAUUGUGAAUAUAAGAAUUGUUGUCUUGGCUUGGUUAUUAGAGGUCAUGUUUGCUAGUAUUUGAAGUGCUCGCAUUAUCAUUUGCUGAAUAUCUCUCACUUAGAUGAUGCUACCAGGUUUAAACUUGCAUGCCCAUUUGUUGAAUACUUAUCACUUGUUUCAUUUCAGUCUAUCUCUUUAUGACCUGAAAGAUGUAAUGCUAUUCUGUUUACAAUAGCAAAGUAAAAUGAAGCAUAUUGUUAUAUAAUUAAAGCUAAUGCCAUCUUAAUUGUUUAUUUUGGUAUUUAGCAUGCAUGUCUAAUACUUUCGUGAUUUGCCUAAAAUCUUUGGACAUGACAUCAUUUUUUUCUUCUAAUGAGCACAUUUUGACUUGCCUAAUUUUUUCAUGGCUGGGAGCUGAUGGGUAUGUCACACCACCUGUCGCACCACUUCUGAAGUGGCGGAUGAGGUGUCCAUCUGGUGUUGGAAGUGAGGCCGCCGUCGACAUUGCCCUUGUGCUUGGCGUGAACAACCAGGGCUUCUUGAUCACGAGGUGUCGAUGAUGUAUGGCUGUCGAGCUGCAUGGAGGCAGCGAGUGCACCUAUGGCAGCGGCGGCCUCUUCGUCUCCAUGGUUUAUCUGGGCUGUUCCUGAUCGGUCUUGCCACCAAGAGCAGCAUCUUCCGCGGCACCAUUGUUGUUGCCAUCGUCGGCACACUCGUGUUCAGAGAGGUUGUUGACUCCAUCUGGCUCUGGCGCUCCCUCAAGUCCGAGAUCUGGAGCAUCUUGUAUGCGAGUGAAGAUGGAGAAGAUGAGGCUGAGGACAAUAAACCAGUUUCUGGUGCGGAUGACAAAAACCAAAGAUAGCAACGAAAGCAGAGAGCCUAUUGUGUCUUCUCUUCCAAGCUAGAGGAAAAUGGACAACACGAAGAUGAUGGAAAUGGAGAUAAAUAAUCUGUUUCCCGAAAAUCUUAAGUGCUCAGUAGGGCGAUGGCGCCGUACAGGAUGGGCGGCUGGUUCAGAAGGGCGCCCAGUAGGGCCGGCAACUCUCUCCACGCGGACCUUGCCGGGGACAAUGACAAAUAGGUCAAUGGUAAUCACAUACUGGCAAAGAGUGCAAUGGCGUAAAACCACCCAAUAAUUUUCGUGAAGUUGAUCCAUAGAUGGCAUAGGCGUACAAACUAUGGAUGAUCCCAUUGUUAUUGAUGGGAACCUGCUAUCUAAUAUGGAGCACUCAAGGAGGAAUGAAUAUGCUCUUCAUUGUCCCGUUCAUUGGUGACCUUGAUGCAUGUCGCCUCCAUUACGCAAACCAGAGGCAGGUGACGGCGCCAUGCCACCACUGUUGGAACCAAUCUUGUUAUUAGUGCUAAGAGUAGUGUUUAGAUCAUGUUUAUUUGUGAUUCAUGACAUUGAUGUCUUAGAGUGGCAAUAGUAGUCAGCUAAGUGCUAGGUAAUUGCAUGCUUGGCAACAUGGCGUAGCGGCCGGAACAACAACACAAAGAGUUAGUGUGUGCGCGUGAGUGGAUCGGCAAGCCAGGAGAUGAGUGCAUGAUGCAUUGCUAGUUUACUUAGUCAAGAGUCAUGUGUUUAGUUAGUGGCAGGCUACAUGCAUGGAUCAAGAUAGCCCAGCUGUGUGACCGUUGCGUGAGCCGUGAGGAUCGGUCUGCAAGUGCUAAACGUGUGGCUAGUUAGUGGAGUCAUUAGUGGAGCAUGUAGUUAAUGGGUGAGUGGCUGUGUCAGCCGUGUGUGGCUAUUUAAGCCAAUAUAAUCAUCCGAGUUUGCUAAUGAGAAGAAGAGAAAAGAUGUAGCCACGGUUGUACCAAGGGAGGUAGUCUGGGCAAAGCCUUUGUGUGCUCUUCCUUGGUGUAUGCGUGUGUGUGUUUGUGAGAUACAAGUGAGAUUGAGAGAUUGUGAGGGAGAAGAUGAUCAGGGAGCUGCAAGGUGCAGCUCCUACAUUUGGUAUCAGAGCCUCGUUCGUCGAGGUCGGGGUCUUCAUCAUCGUCGAGCUGCGUCGCGGCCGAUGGAGGAAGGUGUGCUGCCCGGUAAGUUGCGCCACCGGCGGCAAGGAGGUGCUGGCCAAGGCGUGGAGGCCAUUGCCAUGAGGAGUUCAUCGUCCAUGUCCGAGUCGUCGACAAAGUGCGUCAUCGCCGACAACAUGGAGGAGAGACACCGGCGAGUUGUGGCACCGGCGGCGAACAUGCGGCAGCGAGCAUGUCACGGCGGCACGCUCGCGGUGAAGGUGUAGGAGGUGUGUCUCUCAUUGAGGCCAGCGGCCACAACGACAAUCGGUGUGGCAAGAUGGCAUUGGUGGCCGUCUCCGUGCUGCACCAACGGCAUCAGCGUCCAUUGGUUUCAAGAGAGGAAUAAGCAAUAACAAGAUUGGGGAGGUGAUUGUUGGAACCAAUCUUGUUAUUAGUGCUAAGAGUAGUGUUUAGAUCAUGUUUAUUUGUGAUUCAUGACAUUGAUGUCUUAGAGUGGCAAUAGUAGUCAGCUAAGUGCUAGGUAAUUGCAUGCUUGGCAACAUGGCGUAGCGGCCGGAACAACAGCACAAAGAGUUAGUGUGUGCGCGUGAGUGGAUCGGCAAGCCAGGACAUGAGUGCAUGAUGCAUUGCUAGUUUACUUAGUCAAGAGUCAUGUGUUUAGUUAGUGGCAGGCUACAUGCAUGGAUCAAGAUAGCCGAGCUGUGUGACCGUUGCGUGAGCCGUGAGGAGCGGUCUGCAAGUGCUAAACGUGUGGCUAGUUAGUGGAGUCAUUAGUGGAGCAUGUAGUUAAUGGGUGAGUGGCUGUGUCAGCCGUGUGUGGCUAUUUAAGCCAAUAUAAUCAUCCGAGUUUGCUAAUGAGAAGAAGAGAAAAGAUGUAGCCACGGUUGUACCAAGGGAGGUAGUCUGGGCAAAGCCUUUGUGUGCUCUUCCUUGGUGUAUGCGUGUGUGUGUUUGUGAGAUACAAGUGAGAUUGAGAGAUUGUGAGGGAGAAGAUGAUCAGGGAGCUGCAAGGUGCAGCUCCUACAACCACAUCUCUGCCAACUAUCCGUAACAUACUCGGGAUAUGACCAAAUGUGCUUGUGUAUAUCAGGGAUGACCAAAUCAGUCCUUGUUCUGCCCGGAUCCUCAGUUUUGUGUUAAUUAUCUAGGGGAGCAGUGGAGACGUGCAAAUGGAGCUGGAUAGGAGGGAGCCAUGGGCACUGGAUCCAGUGUGACUUGGCCGUUCUAGCUCUAGACGUGCUGGUGCUUUCCUAGCUGCAGUUCUGGGUUCGGUCGUCCAUUGGGUUCGUGGCUGAUGGCGAAGCGGUGGUGUUCUUUGUCUUUUUUGUUUAGUACUGUGCAUAUCAUCGUUUGAUGACGUAAUCAUGGUUCAGCUUUGUGAGUUUGCUUCCUAGACCGCAUUGGCGUCUGGUGGGGACUUUCCUGUUCGGUAUUCAGUAUCAGCUUUUUUUUCACAUAUGUUUUCAGAUUUCUUCUACAAAUGUAUCCUCCCAAUAGCAUAUCCCUCAUCCUAAUAAUGCAUUAAAUGAAACUUAGUUUCUUGGACUAGAAACAACAGCAACUUGGUUGUCCUAACUCUAGGCGUUCAUUUCUUAGGAUUGCUUUUCAUGUUUGAUGGUUCCCGAUGUUUUCUAUUGAAUUGUUUUUUGCUACACCUAUUACUUUUGAAGGUGUACAAUAACUUUCCCUACACGUGUUCCUGUAAACAUUAUAUGUUAGUUGUGUUCACUCCAGCUGUCUCUAAAAUAUUUUUUUGCUGGAUAUUGGCAAAGAACACGGGGUUUCCACAGUGCUACUUAAGUUUCCAGGUAAAAUUCAAAAUUAACCUAGUGAAGCUAGUGAUGCCUGAUCAACUCGGUGCCGCUUCAUGUCAUUUGGCAAAUUAGUCGGUUAUAUUCUUCUCUGUUUCUCAACCAGUAUCGGCAUUCUUGUCUGCAGUAAGAUGCGGAUAAAUGAUGACAUCCUAUUUUUUUAGGCUGCUAUUUGUUUUUUUUUCUUCACAUGGUAGCAUAGUUCUUGAUAUUUAUUUGAUGCGUCUUGUUCCACCCUUAUGAGCUCUAGAUGUUCUAUGUAAGAUUGUUGUGCAAGAUCUUAUCUUUCUACUUUGGAACUCAUCUUAGAGUUUUGGAAUUUUACUUUGACUUGCUCGAUCACUUUGGCUAUAAUUGUUAUUUACUAGACAACGGAUGUGAAACGUGGUAUUGUUUUACAUUGUUCUUGACUAUAUUUCAAGUAUGAUUCCUUUUGGGUAUAAUCCGUCAAUUUUGCCCCAAUGGCUAUCUCUACUUUGUUUAAUGGUAUGUUAUGUUUGAGUAUCUUCCAACUUUCCUUGUAGAUUAUCUUUUCUAAAUACAAUACUCAGGCUAACCUACCCCUUGUACUAAUAUCUCAUUUAUUUUACAUAAUGUUGGUACUGUUCCUAAUUUUUCAGGCGACGACAUCUGAGCUCUGGUACAUGUGUUGGAGGCUCUUCCUCGGUCGAUCGACUCGAGCAAGGCAGUGAGUGUGACAAGGACUGAGUUCCUGGAUGUCUUGCCUUCCUAUUAUAGCUUCUCCGCUGCCUGGUACUAAGCACCAGCAGCAAGAUGGCGGUGGUGGCAGGGAGCAUGAGAUCAACUGAUUAACAUCAACAGCUAGAUGCCAGGAGCUGUCUAAGAUGGUGAGGGCAGCAGUACUCAGACGGAAAAAGACGUCCCAUGUGGUCAUCUCCUUCUGGGCUAUGGCACUUGCGCUGGAGCGGGCACUUGGAGCUCCCGUUCAGGGACACCCGAUGGAGCAGAAGCAGCAGCGGCCAUGAAGCAGAGCCAAGCAAAUCUUGUAAUGAACGUAUAUUAAAAUUUUGUAAUGAAAGUAUUGUAUUAGCUGGCUUGUUGUACCAAGUAAGCAAUACCGAUGGAGCAUCAAAUAGAGACCUUGCUUGCUAGCUAGAAACUAAUCUUGUACGUACUAGUUGUGAAAUUAAGAUGAAUGGCAGAUUAUUAUUUUGCUCA